ACACGCACGGCACGUAUCGAGUGUAAAAAAUAAUUUACGAAAAUGUUGAAUAGAUACAUAAUACCAGGUAUAAUAUAUUUAAAGGCAAAUUCCAUGACGCAUGCAGCUGGAACGUGUGAAAUCCCUAUAGUCUUGUAGAAUUAAUUAAUUUUCAGUAUUCGUGUCUGGCUCGGUCAAUUUUAAAAAUUAGGUAGGCAUCUACCGAAAAACGAACUAUAUAUUAUAAUAACCGGCACUCGGCGGUAUUAAUAAAAAUAAUGAUAAAAAACAUACAUAAUGGUUAGACUUUUACAGACAUCGACUGAGGUGCGUAUCUAAAUACCUUUAUUAUAAUAUAUUAAAUGUUUGUAAUUUACAUAGUCUAUAAUUGGUAUUUUGCAUUGAGAAAUAAUUCGACCAAGAUGGGCAUGGAAAACUGCAAGCCGAGGAUUGGAUUUGGCACUUGAAAAAGUGCGUUCUGCCUGGAUGAGAAUCUAACUUAUCAACGUUUCUGCGUUCGUCGAAAACAUGCUGCAAAACUAACUUGUGAUGUCUUUUAGAAAAAUAUUUUGAGUACAUUCCCGAGAUUAAUCAUUACUGCCUUAUGAUAAGUGAGUAUUAUACAGUGCAUCUAUUAUAAUAUUACGAUCUUUGUAAAUAAGUGUCUUAAUCUGUUAAAAAACUCAUUUUAUAUAGAAUCUGAUAUUGCUCUUAUUUAUAGUUGCAAAUUUUGGAAUUUCCAGUGAAUAGAUUGGUUAAUCUAUUUUUAAUUUACAAGUGGAUCGAGUCAAGUAUAUCAAUGACUGUAGGGGUGCUUUUUUUCAAAGUUGUAUGUAAAUACUUUUGGUAUAAUGAAGAAGCAAAACAUUUUUAACCCAGCACAUAGCUGAGUUAGAUUGAAAAUCAAACGCAGACCUACACUAUGUGUCUUGACGUAGGUAUAUAAUUUUUUGAAUAUCUCGUAAAAAACCUUUAGCAGCGUCUUUUUUAAAAAUGUCUCAAUCUACAGCAAAUUUAGUUUAAAACUUGUAUAGUUCACUAAAAUGAAAAUGGAAUGCCGAUUGGACUAAAUGUCGUCACGCUGACGUGGAAAAAACGUUUGAAGGUUUCGAUAAACUUUAACAUUCCCGCGAGUGAUUCGUUUCAGAAAAUAACACUUUAAUCUAGAUGUUUUGUAGUACGCAAACUGGGUACUCUUACUUCCUUGAAAGUAUUGGUAUUCUAAUAAUCAUAUUAUCCACUGACUCACUUAUCCAGUUAUCUCUGUCCACAUUAUAUCUCCGUUUUCUAAUUUCCAUAAUGUCUCAAUAGUUUGAGCAGGUACACCAGUUUGAGCAGUACCAUGUGGUUACUGUAUUCAAAUUUCAAAUAAAUAAAGUUAUCAUACUUUGAUUCACCGUUUGUUCAUGACAAAAACCAAGAUGUGUUAAAUUUAAAUUCUGGCGAUCAAAAUAAAUAAAUGUUGGUGCCCUUGAAAAAAAUGUUA